rnacentral:rRNA from 1 species
AGAAUCAACGCUGGCGGCGUGCCUAACACAUGCAAGUCGAACGAGAAAGUGGAGCAAUCCAUGAGUAAAGUGGCGACCGGGUGAGUAACACGUGACUAACCUACCUUCGAGUGGGGGAUAACCUCGGGAAACCGAGGCUAAUACCGCAUAACAUCGCAAGAUCAAAGCAGCAAUGCGCUGGAAGAGGGGGUCGCGGCUGAUUAGCUAGUUGGCGGGUAAUGGCCCACCAAGGCGAAGAUCGGUAGCCGGCCUGAGAGGGCGCACGGCCACACUGGAACUGAAACACGGUCCAGACUCCUACGGGAGGCAGCAGUGGGGAAUUUUGCGCAAUGGGGGAAACCCUGACGCAGCAACGCCGCGUGGAGGAUGAAGCCCCGUUGGGGUGUAAACUCCUUUCGACCAAGACGAUAAUGACGGUACUGGUGGAAGAAGCACCGGCUAACUCUGCGCCAGCAGCCGC